AGCUUGCUUCCUGGUGGCGAGCGGCGGACGGGUGAGUAAUGCAUAGGAAUCUACCCGGUAGUGGGGGAUAACCUGGGGAAACUCAGGCUAAUACCGCAUACGUCCUACGGGAGAAAGCAGGGGCUCUUCGGACCUUGCGCUAUCGGAUGAGCCUAUGUCGGAUUAGCUGGUUGGUGAGGUAAUGGCUCACCAAGGCGACGAUCCGUAGCUGGUCUGAGAGGAUGAUCAGCCACAUCGGGACUGAGACACGGCCCGAACUCCUACGGGAGGCAGCAGUGGGGAAUAUUGGACAAUGGGCGCAAGCCUGAUCCAGCCAUGCCGCGUGUGUGAAGAAGGCCCUCGGGUUGUAAAGCACUUUCAGUGGGGAAGAAAGCCUGCCGGUUAAUACCCGGGAGGAAGGACAUCACCCACAGAAGAAGCACCGGCUAACUCCGUGCCAGCAGCCGCGGUAAUACGGAGGGUGCGAGCGUUAAUCGGAAUUACUGGGCGUAAAGCGCGCGUAGGUGGCUUGAUAAGCCGGUUGUGAAAGCCCCGGGCUCAACCUGGGAACGGCAUCCGGAACUGUCAGGCUAGAGUGCAGGAGAGGAAGGUAGAAUUCCCGGUGUAGCGGUGAAAUGCGUAGAGAUCGGGAGGAAUACCAGUGGCGAAGGCGGCCUUCUGGACUGACACUGA
rnacentral:rRNA from 1 species